AAAAGAGACAUUUGGGGGCAUAAGAACUCGGGCCGCGAGAGGUGAAAUUCUAAGACCGGCCGAGGUCUAACAAAAGCGAAAGCAUUUGCCAAGAAUGUUUUCAUUGAUCAAGAACGAAAGUUGGAGGAGCGAAAACGAUCAGAUACCGUUGUAGUUCCAACUUUAAACUAUGCCGGCUGUCGGGGCCAGUUCGGUACAUCCGUACUAAUUGACCUCCCAGGGAAACCUUAGCAGGGUUCUGGGGGGAGUACGGUCGCAAGUCUGAAACUUAAAGGAAUUGACGGAAGGGCACCACCAGGAGUGGAGCCUGCGGCUUAAUUUGACUCAACGCGGGGAAACUUACCCGGUCCGGACAUCGGAAGGAUUGACAGACUGAUCGCUCUUUCAUGAUACGGUGAAAGGUGGUGCAUGGCCGUUCAUAGUUGGUGGAGCGAUUUGUCUGGUUAAUUCCGUUAACGAACGAGACUUCUUCCUUCAUUUAGUAGAUUUAAUUGGGGUUUAGAUCAACUAAUUGAAGGGACUAACGCUAUUUAAAAGCGUAGGAAGUAAUCCGAUAACAGGUCUGUUAUGCCCUUAGAUGUCCGGGGCCGC
rnacentral:rRNA from 1 species